rnacentral:rRNA from 1 species
UGGGGAAUCUUGGUCAAUGGGCGCAAGCCUGAACCAGCGACGCCGCGUGAGUGAUGAAGGCCUUCGGGUUGUAAAGCUCUGUGGGGAGAGACGAAAGAAUCGGUUCUAACAGGACCGAAGUUGACGGUAUCUCCUUAGCAAGCACCGGCUAACUCUGUGCCAGCAGCCGCGGUAAGACAGAGGGUGCAAACGUUGCUCGGAAUCACUGGGCGUAAAGGGCGUGUAGGCGGGAAUGUAAGUCGGGCGUGAAAUCCCUGGGCUCAACCCAGGAACUGCACUCGAAACUGCGUUUCUUGAGUACUGGAGAGGAAAGCGGAAUACCUGGUGUAGAGGUGAAAUUCGUAGAUAUCAGGUGGAACACCAGCGGCGAAGGCGGCUUUCUGGACAGUAACUGACGCUGAGACGCGAAAGCGUGGGGAGCAAACAG